rnacentral:rRNA from 1 species
UAGGGAAUCUUCGGCAAUGGGGGGAACCCUGACCGAGCAACGCCGCGUGAGUGAAGAAGGUUUUCGGAUCGUAAAGCUCUGUUGUUAAGGAAGAACGAGUGUGAGAAUGGAAAGUUCAUACUGUGACGGUACUUAACCAGAAAGGGACGGCUAACUACGUGCCAGCAGCCGCGGUAAUACGUAGGUCCCGAGCGUUGUCCGGAUUUAUUGGGCGUAAAGCGAGCGCAGGCGGUUAGAUAAGUCUGAAGUUAAAGGCAGUGGCUCAACCAUUGUAGGCUUUGGAAACUGUUUAACUUGAGUGCAGAAGGGGAGAGUGGAAUUCCAUGUGUAGCGGUGAAAUGCGUAGAUAUAUGGAGGAACACCGGUGGCGAAAGCGGCUCUCUGGUCUGUAACUGACGCUGAGACUCGAAAGCGUGGGGAGCGAACAGGAUUAGAUACCCUGGUAGUCCACGCCGUAAACGAUGAGUGCUAGGUGUUAGGUCCUUUCCGGGACUUAGUGCCGCAGCUAACGCAUUAAGCACUCCGCCUGGGGAGUACGACCGCAAGGUU